GUUAUCUAAAGUAUUGGAAAACAAUAACCAUAUUCAUAUGUAGCCCUGUCUAAAUGUAAAUAAGUUAAUCAGUUAAAUAAAUAAUUAUAAAGUUCUUUCUAUAAAAAAGUUCAACCUAUUGUAGUUCAUAUAACAAGAACUGUUAUCUAAAAUGCUAUGAGUUCAGUUUAAAAAGUAUUUAAACAAUUUACAAGUUAAUACAAUAUUUAAAAUGUGUUUAUAAUAUGUUUGGCUAAAAGUGCAGACAACUGGUGUUUUAUCUGUCACUCAUCCCUGUAUAGCCUGUCGAUUGGUCGUCUGCUCCAUUGUCAUGGGUUGUCAUUCAGUCGGGAGAGCAAGGGGGUGGGACAUAGAGGAAGCAGGUUAGAUCAAGGUAGAGAGACGAGUAAGAAAGAGCAGCGGAGUAAAAAGUACGACACGAAUAGUAAAUGUAACACCGGAGUAUUGUCCUUGUAUCAAGAUAAAUGCAGAGUUUUCAGCGGUAUAUGGAAGUACAUCGGUUUACAGAAGGUAAAUGUUUAUUUGUGUUGUGGUAAUUACGAACUGUGUUACUGCUAAGGUUACAAUGUGAAUGCUAACCGCGAUUAGCGGUUAGUUAGCAUGCAACGGCUAGUUGCACAGGGUUAAUUGUAGUAGCCUCAAGUUACUCAUUUUGUUGACCUGUUUGUGUACUGCUGUUAUGUGAAUUCGGACUGAGUUCAUAGAAGUGCUUAGAGAUUUUAUUUAUGAUUGAAAGAUGUAAAUGUAUGUUAUCAGAGGACUGGACCAGGAAGCCCUCCGUGGACCUUUUUUCCCCCCCUCUGAGCGACAGCAGUCGGACAGCAGCACGUGUCGAGGUCACAGCAGUAGGAGUCACCGUCUCCAUUCCCCUCUUCAUUCUCCCUCCAUCCUCGCCUGUAACGUUCUUCAUAACCCCCAUCUUCACACACAUCACACACUAACUGGACAAGAACAGUGGACCACUCCCUCUGUGGCGGAGAAUGGACCAGAACAAAACAGUUGUCUGGCGCUUUGAGCUCCUACCCUGUUCCUCCACGAGCCCAUAUUCCACACAGCGGGCUGUGAAAUCAUUUUUGGUCUCCCUCGGAAGAGAGCCCCCCAUGCAGAAAUCCAUAAAUUCAUGAGCAUCCACCAUCCACAUGAAAAGAAAGGAUGUGGUGAAAACUGAGUGUGAUAGAGAGCAGUGCUAGAUAGAGAGGGAGAGAGGGAGAGAGGGGGCAGGAGAAAUAAAGAGGGAGAGCAGGGGAGGUAAAGAGAGAGAUAGAGAGAAACUGGACAGGAGAGGAGAGGAGAGGAGAGGAGAGGAGAGGAGAGGAGACAAAUGAAUGCUGAACAGCAGUGUGAGUGCUUGGAGGGACCCAGCAUGAGUCUGGUCUGAACCCCCAACCGAUUUAGCGCCGGAAGACACAGACAUAGGAAUAUCAAAAUGCUUUGGUUGCUCGCACACGCUCACUUUCCAACACACACACACACACACACACACACACACACACACACACACACACACACAUAAACACAUUAACACUUGCACACUUAUGCAUGUGUUUUUGAUGCACAAUGCGAUCCCCACAUAUGCACAUGCAUGAACACGCACAUGUGUGCACAAACACACACGCACACAAACACACACAGCUGCUCCAUCCCUUCAUGCUGCCCGGCCUCUCACUCUCCCUCUACUCCCUGGGUGCUCCAGAACCUGCCCAGCCUUGUUGCAGCCCUCCCGUCUCUUUGCACUUCUCCUGACUUCUUCUCCUCUCAUCCUCUCCCCACUUCUCUACCCCGGGAUGCAGCAUCGCUCACCCCAGCACAGUAUAUGUAGCUUAAGUGCAGUAGGAAAGAUAACGUACCCCAAGCAAUGUGACAGUGCUCAUUGAUUAUUACAUAAUAUGUUACAAAGUGGAUUGCCUCAGGCUAUAUUUUUGAUGAUGAAAGCUAUUCACUAUUACUUUUUUUGCAGCUAGUAGGCUGAAUUUGAAUUACUUUAUGAUGAUAGUGUUUCAUUACAACAGAAUAUGUUUUUGUGAUAUUGAAACUGGGUCGUUACAUCAGCAGUGGGU
rnacentral:lncRNA from 1 species